AGAUGAGGCUGAGAAGGAAACCUUGGAGUACACCGGAGAGCAGUGUGUGCCUGGGGGAGGACAGCAGGCAAUCGGGAGCCACCGUCAGAUGGGAAAUGACAGUUGGGAAAUUCUACUUUAGAGGGAGGAGGUGGAGUGCCGGACGGUGAGAGAAGUAGGUGGGUGGGAGAGGAGGCUGAAAGAAGAUGGAAAGACAUGAUAAAGGAACCUCUUCCCUGCAGAGCCUGUGCCAGCCGGAGUCUUCACCCGCUGCCCUGCCAGCCCGACCCAGACAGCCCUUCCCGGAGGGGCAGCGGAGGUCAGGGAGAGGAGCACACUGGCCAGGCAGCGGGAGACGCCAGGGGAAGUUAAACAAACAGGGAAACAGCGUCUGAACAGCUUCUGGUUGCGGCCCGACACAGCUGUUUACCUUGCACGGUGAGGUCCCGUUUGUGCAAAUUAAAAUUCUCUGUAGUGUACUUGCCUGGACCC